GACUCAGGCCCAGCCCAACGCCCAGAGGGAUCCGAGGCUGCCUGUCCCGCGUCGCUCACCCCUGCUCCUCCAUGAGCUCGGAGAGCUCGAGGCAUUUCAGCUCGACUUUGCGCUUCCGUUCGUGGUCCAGGAUGUCUCUGUUGGGCCGCUUGGGCAGCGCGGCGGCGUCGGCACGGCGCAGCUCUUCGUCGGCGCGGGGCUCGGCUCGCUCCCUCUUGUGCCGCAGGGCCGACAGGUUGCGCUGCACGUAGCCGUUGGUGCCGCUGCCCCGCGGCGUCGGCAGCCCGAUCCCAUUGUACAUGGCGACCGCGCUGCCGCCCCUGCGGGGGGCCCCCACGUCAGCGCCCCCCCGGGCCCCACACCCACGCCGGACGGACCCUCUAUGGGACCCCGCUCGUCCCCAGGGAAUCCCCUAUGGGACGGCUAUGGAAUCCAUACAUCCCCAGGGAAUCCCCUAUGGGACGCCUAUGGAAUCCAUACAUCCCCAGGGAACCCCCUAUGGGACUCCGUUCAUCCCCAGGGAACCCCCUAUGGGACGACUAUGGAACCCAUACAUCCCCAGGGAACCCCCUAUGGGACGCCUAUGGAACCCAUACUUCCCCAGGGAACCCCCUAUGGGACGCCUAUGGAACCCAUACAUCUCCAGGGAACCCCCUACGGGACCCCGUUCAUGCCCAGGGAAUCCCCUAUGGGACGCCUAUGGAACCCAUACUUCCCCAGGGAAUCCCCUAUGGGACGCCUAUGGAACCCAAACUUCCCCAGGGAAUCCCCUAAGGAACCCAUCCAUCCCCAGGGAAACCCCUAUGGGACACCUAUGGAACCCAUCCAUCCCCAGGGAAUCCCCUAUGGGACGCCUAAGGAACCCAUACAUCCCCAGGGAAUCCCCUAUGGGACGCCUAUGGAACCCAUACAUCCCCAGGGAACCCCCUAUGGAGCCCCUAUGGAACCUAUACAUCCCCAGGGAACCCCCUAUGGAAUCCCUAUGGAACCCACACAGCCCCCUUUUCACCCCAAUAUUUCCUUCACAAAACGCACAAACCCCACUUUCCUUCACUAAAAUUCCACUUCUUUCCCUCAAAAUCCCCCCUUUUCCCUUCACAAUCUGACCCAAAUUUCACUGUUUCUCCCCAAAUGUUGCAUUUUUUCCCCUCAAAAUCCCCAAAUCCCACUUCUUCCCCUCAAAAUCCCAAUAUUUCCCCUCGCAAACUGCCCCAAAUCCACUUUUUUCCCCUCAAAAUCCCCCUUUCCCCCAAUAUUCCACAUUUUUCCUCACAAACUGCCCCAAAUCCCACUUUUUUCCCCUCAAAAUCCCCCUUUUCCCCCCUCAGAAAAUACCCAAAUUCUACUUUUUCCCCCAAUAUUCCACAUUUUUCCUCGCAAAAUGACCCAAAUCCCACUUUUUUCCCUUCAAAAUCCCACUUUUCCCUCACAAAUCCCACCUUUUCCAUUACAAACCACCCAAACUCCACUUUUUCCCCCACUAUUUUCCUCACAAACCCCCAAACUCCACUUUUUCUCCCCAAUAUUCCAUGCGUUUCCUCACAAAAUCCCCAAAUCUCACCGUUUACCCCUCAAAAUCCCACUUUUCCCCUCACAAACUGCCCCAAAACUCCUCUUUUUCUCCCCAAUAUUCCCUAUUUUUCCUCACAGAACGCCCAAAUCCCUCUUUCCUUCACCAAAAUCCCACUUUUCCCCUCACAAACUGCCCCAAAUCUCCACUUUUCAUCCCCAGUUUUCCCUUUUUCCUCACAAAACACACAAACCUCGCAUCCCUUCGCUGAAAUCCCACUUUUUCCCCUCAAAAUCCCAAUAUUUCCCCUUGCAAACUGCCCCCAAUCCACUUUUUUCCCCUCAAAAUCCCCCUUUUCCCCCAAUAUUCCACAUUUUUCCUCACAAACUGCCCCAAAUCCCACUUUUUUCCCCCCA
ensembl:lncRNA